rnacentral:rRNA from 1 species
UAGGGAAUCUUCCACAAUGGACGAAAGUCCGGUGGAGCAACGCCGCGUGAGUGAAGAAGGGUUUCGGCUCGUAAAACUCUGUUGUUAAAGAAGAACAUAUCUGAGAGUAACUGUUCAGGUAUUGACGGUAUUUAACCAGAAAGCCACGGCUAACUACGUGCCAG